GUGUGUGUGUGUGUGUGUGUGUGUGUGUGUGUGUGUGUGUGUGUGUGUGUGUGUGUUGGCUGUUGUGGUGGAACAGAAGGUCUCUGCAGGUCCGGUGUGUGGGUGGACUCUGGGAUUCACCGUGAAAACAAUCUGCAGCCAAGGACACCUCAAAGCAGGGAUUCAGAGAAGUUUAGAUUUGGAACAAGGCUACAUCCUAUUCCAUAACGCUUUCAGCCAAGAUUGAGCACAAAUCAUACGUCGUCCUCCUGCUUCUCGCUGCACCUGCUCUCACGUUCUCUCUGCCAACUCUGUGAUGUCAUUCUCUGGAACGAGGUGUGUUGGCUCCCACGGCCGGAACCUGCAACAAGAUGGUGGGAUGAGAUCAUCAACGCCCCAUCAGGACUCUUUACAUCGCACAAAGUCAACAAACUUAUCAACAUGGUAAAUAAUGUUAAAAAGCGAAUGCAGGAAGCCGCAGCAUUGUGAAUUCCCUGAAUUUAUCUCCAACAUGAACAUUUUUGUGUUUCUUCUGCAUCCUGCGGUUCCUCAUCCAAAC